AAGGAACCAGUGAAAUUCGGUUCCGGUUCCGGUUCCAACCUAUAGGGUACCCAGAACUGGAACCGGAACCGGUAUCCGGAACCGGAUGGUAAUUACUAAAACAAAAAAGAAAAGAAGGUAAAGUUAUUCUCAGUCUCAGUCGGGAAGACAGGAAGGAAGGAAUGCUGCUCAGCUUUCGUCUCCGCUGUAACCUAAAUCGGCUUUCGUCUUCAAAUCUCCACUCCAACUCAUCUCCGUCGUCAGUCGCCUCAAGUCUUCGACUCUCCACUCCAGCUACUUUCUGUCGCUCGCCAGCCUCGCCUCUUGUCUCCGAGUGUGCUCAUAAUCCCAUUUCCCGAUGAGCUUCUGUUCUGCCUCCUCUCCGUCGCUCUCGUUUUCGACUCUCGACUUCGGCCUCUCUCCGUCGCUCUCGUCUCCGACUCUCCUUCAAGCUCUCUUUCCCGCUCCUCUCCGUCGCUUGCCUCUCGUCUCCGACUCUCCUUGAAGCCCUCUUUCCCGCAACGAGGGAUAUUGAUGAAUUCGACAAUCCAGUAGACAAAGUUGGUCAGGGACUUCACAAUUCCCUUCCCCUGCCUAUCAUAUUAGAUCCUCUAAGUUAUCUUUUUUUAGUCCUGUAUUUUUUCUUAAGAUUAAAGUGUGAUUUGUCUGCUUUUGGAUAGAUAAACUUUUUAGUUCAUGGACCGUAUUAGUCCAUGAUGGACGUAUUGUGAGGAAAUAUUACAUUUUGUUGUGUGAGAUCGUAUUAUGGAUAUUUAGUUUUGUGGAUGGAUUAAUGAGACAUAUUACUUUUUA